GGCGGUAUGGCCAAGUGGUAAGGCAAGAGCCUGCAAAGCUCUGAUCCCCGGUUCAAAUCCGGGUGCCGCCUCCA
rnacentral:tRNA from 1 species